GUUGUGGGCUGCCCAGGGUCAGGCGGAGUUUGUUGCGAAUAGUAGUGGAGUAGACCCAUGGCUAUCACCGAAGCGCGCCAUGUUGAGUCUGCUGCAGGGAGUGGAGCGGCAUCCAUUAUCGCGACUUCCUAGAAGAUGGAAGAAUCAUGCGGUAUCCGUCGCAAGAAGUGGAGCAGGAUCGUGGGCAUCAUAGCAGUCUGCCAG
rnacentral:lncRNA from 1 species